rnacentral:rRNA from 1 species
UACGUAGGGGGCUAGCGUUGUCCGGAAUCAUUGGGCGUAAAGCGCGCGUAGGCGGCCCGGUAAGUCCGCUGUAAAAGUCCAGGGCUCAACCCUGGAAAGCCGGUGGAUACUGUCGGGCUCGAGUCCGGAAGAGGCGAGUGGAAUUCCUGGUGUAGCGGUGGAAUGCGCAGAUAUCAGGAAGAACACCCGUGGCGAAGGCGGCUCUCUGGGACGGUACUGACGCUGAGACGCGAAAGCGUGGGGAGCGAACAGG